ACUGCUUUCAGGCGGGGAGCUCAGAAGGCGGGAAGUACAGGUGUCUCUGCAGUCCCUCCUCCAUCUGCUCUACAGCCUGGCUGGUCCUCCACACAGCAGCCCAUCCAUCCAUGCUGGGUCAACAGAGUGACAAUGAGCAGGUCAAGGAGAUGGCAGGGCCAGGGGCCGGAGGGCUUCUUCCUCACCCUGCAGGACAAUGAUGCCUCUGCCCCUCAGGGACAGCCCCUCUGAUCACCACCAUUAUUACUCUCAAUGCAGGACAAUCAGAUGCUUGUCCACUCAUGAACUCUGUCCAGCUCCAGUGUCUGAGCUCUGGGGACAGUGAUGGACGAGGACAUGGUCCCACUGAUGGGGAGAGGGUGUGCUGAGGUCAGUGUGGAAGCCAGCAGGGCCAGGACCUUGAGGAAAGGGUUUCUGGAAGAGGCCCCGUUCUGGUUUCCAGUGGCUCUGUGUCCAUGACAGGGGGUUUACCGUGCAGACAUCUGCAAGGUCCCCUGGUACUUCCGUGCCUGUGUGUGUGGCUGGAGUCCUUUGACUGCAGCGGCUCCUCUGACCUCUGGAGGACCCGGCCUGAACUGCGCAGCCUGGGAACAGCCUGAGCUGCGCCAUUGGGAUGCACAUCACGGCGCAUGGCACCGGCUCAGGGAGGAAUUAGACACGGCGUGGGUGUCCAACGUGGGGGUCGGUGGCUGUAUCGGGGCAGAUGGACUCGGCGGGCACCCCGCCUCACCCCGAUAUUUCUCUACCACCAUCAGAACCCCUACCCGCCUCCUCCCAGCUCUGCGCCCCAGCCCCUUUGUCUGGCCCUGCCACCCGCCCCGCGCGCUCGGGCCGCCCGUGCACCACCGCCGCCACCACCGCUGGCGGGAACAAUGCGGGCCAAUGUCUCGGACAGGCGGACAGGCGAGCUGGCUAUGCAAAUGCCACCGGCCUGUGAGAAUUCCCCUCCGCCGCCGCUGGCUUCUACCGCCUGAGAGGGGCCGGCAGCCACUGCAUAGGGAUGAGCUGUCACCAGCUCCCUGGGACAGAGCGCCAUUGUCUCCACAGCACUGUCUAAUCGCCAGCCUCUGCCCAAGGCAGAGGUGACCCAAACCUGUCCCCUCCACCUACUCCUUGCCCCAGAGAGGCUUGACUUGGGGGUUGGACUGUGGAGGGCCCCCAGCCUCCCUCCCUGCUCACUAGGUUGGUGCCCUGUAGGCUCUGGGCUCAGUUCCUGUCUCUGAACCUGUCUCAGAGGUGAAGCCUGGCUCGGUGGUUGGUGUUCUUUCCACUCCCCCUGCCUAUCCACCCAGCCCCUCUCCCCCAUCUCUGUCCAUUUUCUCACAUCACAUCGACCCAAUGGACUCUUACAGGUGUUUCUGAAGCUGAUUCCUGUCCAGAGCCUCAAGGGGAAUGUCCUGGUUUCCCCAAACCAGGUUAUGGGACAGCCAUCCCAAGUGGUCCUCUCUGAGCAUGUACCUCACACUUCCCUCUGCUGUGUGCCACAGUUAAGGGCCCUGUCUGUGCCCUGAAUAAAGGCUCACCACAGCAGGACUGAAACUCCUCCAGUGAUGAAGGUGUAGGGCUGCACAUGCAGUCCUCCUCCACAAAUGGAAGAGGUUUCUGGUCCAACCCAGAAUUCCUCCAGAGCAUUCUGACCUGGGCUGCUCAGCCUCAUGGAAGCUCCUGGCGCCACCUCAGGAAGAAGCCAAACCCGUGUUCUCACACAUCUCCACACAUGGCCAGGACCCCCCCUGGGCCCUAGCCCCAGAGCACAUCUUCCCUCCCAUGAGGGCAUUUGCAGAUGGCCCCCCUUGCUUUGGGCAGUUCCUGGAAGAGGAGUGACCAGAGCUCCCACCCUCAAAGCGACCCUCUCUCUUUGGCUUGGACAUCUGGGGCUCUCUGGGCCUGCUCGGCUGGUCUUCAGGGGCCCCAGGCAGGCCCAGCUUGGCUCGGAGGCUGAGAGAGGAAGUGGCUUUGUUGUGCCUGGGCAUCGUCUGGAUUCUUAAACUUGCUUUUCCCACCCUGCUCUUCUUGGCAGGAGAGCCCUCAGCUGGAGACGCUGCCCACCCCCCAGUGUCCCCUCCUUGCCUGCUCACACCAUCCACCUCCGUCUCCCCAGAGCAAGGAAUGUGGCUCCAGGACACUGUGGAGCUUGUUCCCAAUCCCUUUCUAGCUCAUUUCACUCAGGCUUUUAUAAACUCGCCUUCAUCCCA